rnacentral:rRNA from 1 species
UGCAAGUCGAGCGGUAGCACAGAGAGCUUGCUCUCGGGUGACGAGCGGCGGACGGGUGAGUAAUGUCUGGGAAACUGCCUGAUGGAGGGGGAUAACUACUGGAAACGGUAGCUAAUACCGCAUAACGUCGCAAGACCAAAGAGGGGGACCUUCGGGCCUCUUGCCAUCAGAUGUGCCCAGAUGGGAUUAGCUAGUAGGUGGGGUAACGGCUCACCUAGGCGACGAUCCCUAGCUGGUCUGAGAGGAUGACCAGCCACACUGGAACUGAGACACGGUCCAGACUCCUACGGGAGGCAGCAGUGGGGAAUAUUGCACAAUGGGCGCAAGCCUGAUGCAGCCAUGCCGCGUGUGUGAAGAAGGCCUUCGGGUUGUAAAGUACUUUCAGCGGGGAGGAAGGUGUUGUGGUUAAUAACCUCGGCGAUUGACGUUACCCGCAGAAGAAGCACCGGCUAACUCCGUGCCAGCAGCCGCGGUAAUACGGAGGGUGCAAGCGUUAAUCGGAAUUACUGGGCGUAAAGCGCACGCAGGCGGUCUGUCAAGUCGGAUGUGAAAUCCCCGGGCUCAACCUGGGAACUGCAUUCGAAACUGGCAGGCUAGAGUCUUGUAGAGGGGGGUAGAAUUCCAGGUGUAGCGGUGAAAUGCGUAGAGAUCUGGAGGAAUACCGGUGGCGAAGGCGGCCUCCCUGGACAAAGACUGACGCUCAGGUGCGAAAGCGUGGGGGAGCAAACAGGAUUAGAUACCCUGG